UCGGACUGCUCAGUAACACGUGGAAUAACCUACCCUUGGGACUGGGAUAACCCCGGGAAACUGGGGAUAAUACCGGAUAGAUCAGGGAUGCUGGAAUGCGCCUUGAUCCAAAGCUCCGGCGCCCAAGGAUGGGUCUGCGGCCUAUCAGGUUGUAGUGGGUGUAACGUACCUACUAGCCGACGACGGGUACGGGUUGUGAGAACAAGAGCCCGGAGAUGGAUUCUGAGACACGAAUCCAGGCCCUACGGGGUGCAGCAGGCUCUAAACCUUUACAAUGUGCGAAAGCAUGAUAAGGGAACUCCGAGUGCCAGCAUCUAAUGCUGGCUGUCCUUGUGCCUAAAACGCACAAGAUAGCAAGGGCCGGGUAAGACCGGUGCCAGCCGCCGCGGUAACACCGGCGGCCCGAGUGGUAGCCGCUAUUAUUGGGUCUAAAGGGUCCGUAGCCGGUUCGAUAAGUCCUCUGGGAAAUCUGGUUGCUUAACAAUCAGACUGCCAAGGGAUACUGUCGAACUUGAGACCGGGAGAGGUAAGAGGUACUUCAGGGGUAGGAGUGAAAUCUUGUAAUCCCUGGGGGACCAUCUGUGGCGAAGGCGUCUUACCAAAACGGGUCUGACGGUGAGGGACAAAAGCUGGGGGCGCAAACCGGAUUAGAUACCCGGGUAGUCCCAGCCGUAAACGAUGCUCGCUAUGUGUCAGGUACGGUGUGACCGUAUCUGGUGCCGUAGGGAAGCCGUGAAGCGAGCCACCUGGGAAGUACGGUCGCAAGACUGAAACUUAAAGGAAUUGGCGGGGGAGCACUACAACGGGUGGAGCCUGCGGUUUAAUUGGAUUCAACGCCGGAAAUCUUACCGGGGGAGACAGCAGCAUGAAGGUCAGGCUGAAGACCUUACCAGAUCCGCUGAGAGGAAGUGCAUGGCCGUCGUCAGUUCGUACUGUGAAGCAUCCUGUUAAGUCAGGCAACGAGCGAGACCCGUGCCCACAGUUGCCAGCAUGCCCUUCGGGGCGAUGGGUACUUUGUGGGGACCGCCGCUGCUAAAGCGGAGGAAGGAGCGGGUUACGGUAGGUCAGUAUGCUCCGAAACUCCCGGGCUACGCGCGGGCUACAAUG
rnacentral:rRNA from 1 species